AACCGGAUUAGAUACCCUGGUAGUCCACGCCCUAAACGAUGUCUACUAGUUGUCGGGUUUUAAUUAACUUGGUAACGCAGCUAACGCGUGAAGUAGACCGCCUGGGGAGUACGGUCGCAAGAUUAAAACUCAAAGGAAUUGACGGGGACCCGCACAAGCGGUGGAUGAUGUGGAUUAAUUCGAUGCAACGCGAAAAACCUUACCUACCCUUGACAUGUACGGAAGGCCGAAGAGAUUUGGCUGUGCUCGAAAGAGAACCGUAACACAGGUGCUGCAUGGCUGUCGUCAGCUCGUGUCGUGAGAUGUUGGGUUAAGUCCCGCAACGAGCGCAACCCUUGUCAUUAGUUGCUACAUUUAGUUGAGCACUCUAAUGAGACUGCCGGUGACAAACCGGAGGAAGGUGGGGAUGACGUCAAGUCCUCAUGGCCCUUAUGGGUAGGGCUUCACACGUCAUACAAUGGUACAUACAGAGGGCCGCCAACCCGCGAGGGGGAGCUAAUCCCAGAAAGUGUAUCGUAGUCCGGAUCGCAGUCUGCAAC
rnacentral:rRNA from 1 species